UACGGGAGGCAGCAGUGGGGAAUUUUGGACAAUGGGCGCAAGCCUGAUCCAGCCAUGCCGCGUGUCUGAAGAAGGCCUCGGUUGUAAGGACUUUUGUCAGGGAGCAAAACUUACUGGUUAAUACCUGGUGAGGUUGAGAGUACCUGAAGAAUAAGCACCGGCUAACUACGUGCCAGCAGCCGCGGUAAUACGUAGGGUGCAAGCGUUAAUCGGAAUUACUGGGCGUAAAGCGUGCGCAGGCGGACUUUUAAGCCAGAUGUGAAAGCCCCGAGCUUAACUUGGGAAUUGCGUUUGGAACUGGGAGUCUAGAGUCUGUCAGAGGGGGAUGGAAUUCCACGUGUAGCAGUGAAAUGCGUAGAGAUGUGGAGGAACACCGAUGGCGAAGGCAGUCCCCUGGGAUAAGACUGACGCUCAUGCACGAAAGCGUGGGGAGCAAACAGGAUUAGAUACCCUGGUAGUCCACGCCCUAAACGAUGUCUACUAGUUGUUGGGGUAGCAAUACCUCAGUGACGCAGCUAACGCG
rnacentral:rRNA from 1 species